UACGUUCCCGGGCCUUGUACACACCGCCCGUCACACCACGAAAGUCGGCAACACCCGAAGCCGGUGGCCUAACCCUUGUGGAGGGAGCCGUCGAAGGUGGGGUCGGUGAUUGGGGUG
rnacentral:rRNA from 1 species